rnacentral:rRNA from 1 species
AUCCUUCAGGGGUCAAAGGAGGAAUCCGGUGUGAGGUGGGCUCGCGUCUGAUUAGAUAGUUGGUGAGGUAACGGCUCACCAAGUCAACGAUCAGUAGCCGACCUGAGAGGGUGAUCGGCCACAUUGGGACUGAGACACGGCCCAGACUCCUACGGGAGGCAGCAGUGGGGAAUAUUGGGCAAUGGGCGCAAGCCUGACCCAGCAACGCCGCGUGAGGGAAGAAGGUUUUCGGAUUGUAAACCUCUGUCCUGUAUGAAGAGAAGAAGACGGUAGUACAGGAGGAAGCCCCGGCUAACUACGUGCCAGCAGCCGCGGUAAUACGUAGGGGGCGAGCGUUGUCCGGAAUGAUUGGGCGUAAAGGGCGCGUAGGCGGCCCGGUAAGUCUGGAGUGAAAGUCCUGCUUUUAAGGUGGGAAUUGCUUUGGAUACUGCUGGGCUUGAGUGCAGGAGAGGUUAUCGGAAUUCCCGGUGUAGCGGUGAAAUGCGUAGAGAUCGGGAGGAACACCAGUGGCGAAGGCGGGUAACUGGACUGCAACUGACGCUGAGGCGCGAAAGUGUGGGGAGCAAACAGGAUUAGAUAC